AGUAGUCAGAAUUUAGCAUUUGAAGCAGCUACACAAACUCAAGAACGUACUAUAGAUGGACCUUCUUCUAGAGUUGGGAUAAUUUGAGUGGUACUUAUACUGGUGAUGAGAGGAGUUAGUUCUACUAGUGUUGAGGAAGAGUUCGGUAGAGUUUUUGCUGGUGUUAAGGAGGAGUUGAGUGGGGCUUCUUCUACUACUGCAUCAAAUGUUCCAAUACU
rnacentral:lncRNA from 1 species